AGUUUUCAAGGCCCUCAUUUCCAAAAACUAAUUUUAAAAAACUCUUGUACAAGUUUGCGUUCUUAUAGCGCCAUAAUUUGCGUUCAUAAAACGGCGGUUUAGCAUAUAAUACGAUGGUUUGAACCGCUGCAUUCUCUGUAAUGUAAUGUGUUGUUCAUUCUGUGUGAGUUUCAUUUUGAGUUUUUUUUUUCUUUCUACUUACGCCAUUCUAUGAUCCUCAGUGUUUGUUCAAUUGAAGUCCGAUUUUAUUUCUCUAAUUUUUGUUGGUGUUUGUGUUUUAUUGCGAUUGAUAUAUGUUUAUUCAUUUUGAUGCAUUGUUGCGAUUAGCAUAGGUGUUAGGGUUUGUGAUUCGUUAUAGAUUUUCCUAGUAAUUGAUUUGAGUGAUUGAUCAUGUUUCUGACGAUUCCAAACAAGGUGAGAUUCAGUGAUCUAGCUUGGGUUUUAUUGUUAGUUUGCCUUGCUGUGGCAAUAUAGAUGUUGGAUGUGUGCUUAUCGUGCUUUGUGGUUGAAACUUGGUUGGCUGAAAAACUUGGUUUAUUGAGUGAGCUAUCUUAUUGGAUCUAAUGAUAGAAACUGAGUGAAAAAAGAAAGCCAAAUGAGUAGAGUGGCUUCACUUUCUAGAAUUACACUAAUCUUCUAUUGUUUUGUUGCCUACAUUUCCUAUUGUUCAAAUUAUGAUUGAGAUUUUCGUUUUCCCGACAUUGAGAUGUAAUAUGUGGAUUUGGUACAUGUUUCUUUCCUGUUGAUUAAGGAGCACAUAAUUCCAAUCAUGGAGCCAUCAGGGGAAAGGUAUUACUUAUCUGAGAAAACAGAAUUGGUACCGACACAUAUUCACUCGGAAAAGGAGAUCUACAUUAAUUCCUGAUGAACUUGUUUGAGGAGCUAUUUAACUGUGGUUGAAGCUAUAUACAGGGAUCUCUUUUAGAACACAGUCAUAAAGCUCUGUUUUUGUAAUGUAUUCCUAGUGUUGCUUACCAGUUUACCACUGUGAAAUGGGCAGGCAUUAUACGAAAGACCAGAACAGUUAUGGAGUGCUUGCAUCGCUUUUGCAGAGAAUGCAUUGACAAGUCUAUGUGAAUGCCACCUGCUAAACUUAUCUUUCAUUAGUUGAGACUUGAGAAUUAACAUGUGUUUGCUUAUCCGGUUCAGUAAGUCAACUAUAUUUUAGGAACAAUGAGUGUCCUGCUUGUCGUACCCACUGUGCUAGUCGCCGUUCUCUGAGAGAUGAUCCGAACUAUGAUGCUCUAAUUGCACUUCUAUACCCAGAUAUUGAUAAAUACGAAGACGAGGAAUUGGCUUCUCAUGAAGAGGAGAAAGCUCGAAAUAAGCAGGUGAGCCAGUAUGUAGCUCAGCAGACUUCCAUAGAGGUUGGCGAAAUCGACAAAGUGCUGAUAAAAGAGAUAAACCCCACUGACAACCCUUCAAGUUCUGAUAUCAUGACCAUUUCCAAACCCAUUGUUGGAGAUCCUUCUAAAGUUGAAAUCCAUAUGGUGGAAGAGCAUCAGACUUUGGGGGAAAUCCAAGAUGCAUGUGGUUUUAACCUGCGUAAUAUGUAUUGUGAAUGCAGCUCCGACACUGAAACAUAAAAAGGUUGUGGUCUUGCGUAGGACUCGUUCUUGCAAAUCACUGUGGGUUGGACUUAGAGCGCCAAUUUGAAAGGAAGUCUGUAGCAGCCUCCUCUAUUCGUAACCUUCGAAAUUUAACUUCCAGGCACAAGAUAUAAAAAGUAUGUUUCAGCGCCUUACAGCCAAAAUUGGAUCACCAAAUGGAUGUACCAUCACGGAUUCACGCUAGUGUUCGUGGAACAUUAUUUAUAGGAUAUGUUGUAAUUAUCUCCCUUGUAAUUGUAUUAAAUGAAUGUAUACUACUCAAAAUUUUAAUAAAUUUUGUGAUGUAAUUUGGAAGUGGUUAUGUAAUUUUGAUGAUAAAUGUUUCACUUCU